rnacentral:misc_RNA from 1 species
AUUUUGAUGACCUCAGGAAUAGAUACUGUAAAUUAUUUUACCUGGUAAAAGUUGCUCAACGUGUUGUACUUGCGUUUGUCGAUAAGCAUACUGUAAAUUUUUUUACCAUGUAAAAAUGCACAAAUUAUACUAUAAAUUUUUUUACCAUGUAAAAAAAAUUUGUUGACUUCAGGGCUAGUUUUCAGGGCUAGUUUUUAGUAGAGAUGUUGCAGCCAAGGACCAUAUUUUUGUGUUACACUUUCAGCUUCUCAGCUAUAACACCUUCAACACAAGGAGAAAGUCCCCG